AAGUCGUAACAAGGUAACCGUAGGUGAACCUGCGGUUGGAUCAUUAAUGAAUUUUUAAACUGAGCUGAUUUUUUUCUUCCAAGAGGAAAUCAUGUUCUUUUUAACACUUCUGUGCACAAUUUUUUUUCCUCUUGGAGACUCCGAGAGGGGGGAUUACUUUUGUAGGGUAUCGGAAGAGAGGUCUUUUUUUUUUCUAGAUCUCUUUGAUGAUACUUUUUUUUUUAUACUCUGUUAAAAAAUAUAAUUUUAAGCCUUUAAAUUUUUUUUGAAUUUUUAAUUUAAAAAACAACUUUUGACAACGGAUCUCUAGGCUCUCA
rnacentral:misc_RNA from 1 species